GAUACAGCUAUACUCCCCCAAACCAACUGCCUCUUCUCCCCCUGUCCUUCACCCUCCUCUCCAUUCGAGGAUAGCCAGCAGCACAACGACAAUAACGGUUAUGUUUUAUGACAUAUUUGAAGCUUAUUCACAUGAUCAACAAUCUUGCUCGUUGUUUGUCUUUUCUAGCAGAACUUGAAUGAGAAAUUUUGGUUAUGUUUUGUGACAGACCGGAAGCUUAUUGACUUGGUUGAUUUGAAGGUAGAAAUUAUUUCGGAUACUGUACCAAACUAUCAUCAGAUAGCUACGCAUGUAAGACUUUCUUUUGUCUAGGGAUGAGCUCGAUGCGGUACUGGUACCUGUAUCGAACCGAAAGUACUGAUCCCGUAAAACACAAAAAGUGGAUACUGGUACCGAAAGUGGCUGGUACGGUACAAAACUGGUAAACGAACUUCGAAGGUAAAUCACCUCAAUAUACCGUACCGUACAGAACCGACAAUACCAAUCCCAAAAAACGCAAAAGUGGGCACCGAAAAUGGCUUGGUACGGUACCAGAUUUUGUAGAGUAGAUAAAGAUGUUCCAGAUUCAGUCUCAUAUGCCCACACCUCAGGGAACCAUAGUCUUGUUCUCGAAACUACUCGACUCAUGUUACUCCACAAGAAACCUGCAUAUGCUCAAACAACUACACGCUCGAAUGAUAAUCACCGGAAUCUCCUCACAUGAUUUCAUUCGAGCAAAACUAAUCUCAUCAUAUUCGGUUACUGCCCAAUUACACGAAGCAUCCAUUAUCUUCUCCGUCACCAAUCGCCGACCCACAUUUCUCUUCAACUCCUUCAUCCGAGCUUAUUCUUCCCUCAAUCAGUUCUUCAACUCUCUCACCAUUUUUCGAGAAAUGGUCCGCGCUGGUAAAUCGUUAGACCGGCAUACUUUACCACCGGUUCUCAAGUCUUGUGCAGGUGUUCCGGCUCUACGCCUGGGGCGUAGCGUCCACGUUAUUGUUUUUUCAAAUGGGUUUGAUUCGGAUGUUGCGAAUUCGAAUGCUUUGGUGACGAUGUAUUGUAAAUGUGGUGAUUUGGGGAGUGCACGGAAGGUGUUCGAUGAAAUGCUUGAGAGAAAUGUGGUUACUUGGACGGCUAUUAUGAGUGGGCAUGGGAUGUAUGGGAGAUGUGAAGAGGUGUUUGAGCUGUUUGAGAGGAUGGUGGGUGGUGGGGUGGAGCCGGAUGGGAUGACGUUUACUGCAGUUCUUAGCGCGUGUAGUCAUGGUGGGUUGGCGGAUAAAGGGAUCGAGUAUUUUUGGAUGAUGAAAGAUAGGUUUAAGUUGAGGCCGAGUUUGGAACAUUGCACUUGUAUGGUUGAUAUGUUGGGGCGAGCAGGGAGGGUGGAGGAGGCAGAGACAAUGGUGGAGAUGAUGGAUGCUGUACCAGACGGGGCGUUAUGGGGCGCGCUAUUGGCUGCGUGCAAGACUCACGGAAAGGUGGAAGUAGCCGAGAGAUUAGCCGAAAAGAUAUAUGCAAGAAGAUUAAUCUCAACAUAACAUGUUAUAAAACUACCUGCCAAUAGAGAAUCUCUUGCACGGUAGCAGAAGUCGGGACGCCCUCAGGCCACAUUGGUAUGACAACAUAAACGGCAAACCGCUCGUUGUUUCUAAUCUUGCUUGCUAUUUUCUGAGCCAACUCCAUUGGGAUUAGGUUAUCAGCUCCUAAAAGUUGGCAAGAUAGCACACACUAGCCUCAAAAACAUGUCGUCGAAUGCACAUUAGAAUAUUUUGAUUUUAACUUCAAAGGCUUACGCUCUCAUUGAAGUAGUAGUAGAAUAUACAUAUAGCACAUUGUGAAGGUAGGAUGCAAUUUGUUACCUGCAUUUUCGUAUGACCAUGCAUAUGACGAGCCAAUAAAAUAUUGAUUUUCAAUAUAAAUGAAAUGCUGAGCUGAUCGGAUCGCUUGGAUAUAUGCAUUUUGAAUGCUUUUUUCUAUAACCAUACUUUUUGCAGUGAUAAGAUUCUGCAAGAACCAGAAGGAAACAUAUGGCAUCAUCAGGAUAGAAUACCAAUAAACAGUUUUGGGGAAUCCUCUUAAAGAUCCAGAAUCUAUAGACCUGAAUAUCUGCAUCGUGAGAAAAGCCAUGAAGAGGGCCCGCCUUUUCGGAUGGGGGAAAGAAAGAAGAGAGGGGGGGGAUCUAACCUGCACAUGCCAGUUAUCAGGGUCAACUUCACUGGAAACAUACAAUGAUGGAUCAUCGGCCGGAACCACUGUGUGAGCUCCAUUAACCGGAGCAGGAUAGGUCGGACUAGCAAUCCAUGAGAUACGAUCAAUUUUCAACAAAGAAUCGUCGUCUUCCCUGUGGGCCAUCCUUUUUGCAAUAAAUUUGAAUUCUCUAAAUCUUGUAGCUUUUCUCCAUCUUUGCUCAAAGUUUAGCAGGACAUCAUAAGCAGCGGGACCUUCAAUCUUGCAGUGUAAAUCAUGCCAUGGCUGCCUCGGGGCCUUUGUUCCCGCCUAUUUUAGAUGAAAAAAAGACGAAGAACAUUCAAAGACCUAAAGAAUCCGAGUUGAAUAAACAGAAAUAGAAGACGAGAUGAUGUAGAUGCUCACGGGGAAUGUAGGUUGGUGAACGUCCUCCUUGAAUACAGUGUCGAGAUCAUGAAACAACCUAUGCUCGGGUGUGUCAUAGCGACCAUCGCAGAGAUCAAGGCCGCCUAUAAAAGCUGUAAUCUUUCUAUUGUUACCGUCUGCUUGUGUAUCCACAAGUACACAUUUUUGAUGGUGUGUAAAAGCACCUCCGACAACCUGAAACAUAAAAGAACUUGUAAAUAGAUGAAUAUAUCUGACCCUUGAUUGUCAGACUCAGUAUCCGGCGUACUUAAACAAAUUAUCGACGUCGUAAUGAUUAAGCGCAUAUUACCUGCUGUUUAAAAA